rnacentral:rRNA from 1 species
UACGUAGGGGGCAAGCGUUGUCCGGAUUUAUUGGGCGUAAAGGGCGCGUAGGCGGCUCAUGAAGGCUGUGGUGAAAGUCCGGGGCUCAACCUCGGAUCGGCCGUGGCGACUCGUGGGCUGGAGCACUGUAGAGGCGGGUGGAAUUCCGGGUGUAGCGGUGGAAUGCGUAGAGAUCCGGAAGAACACCAGUGGCGAAGGCGGCCCGCUGGGCAGUGGCUGACGCUGAGGCGCGAAAGCGUGGGGAGCAAACAGG